GACGAACGCUGGCGGCGUGCUUAACACAUGCAAGUCGAACGGAAAGGCCCUGCUUUUGUGGGGUGCUCGAGUGGCGAACGGGUGAGUAACACGUGAGUAACCUGCCCUUGACUUUGGGAUAACUUCAGGAAACUGGGGCUAAUCCCGGAUAGGAGCUCCUGCUGCAUGGUGGGGGUUGGAACGUUUCGGCUGUUGGGGAUGGACUCGCGGCUUAUCAGCUUGUUGGUGGGGUAGUGGCUUACCAAGGCUUUGCCGGGUAGCCGGCCUGAGAGGGUGACCGGCCACAUUGGGACUGAGAUACGGCCCAGACUCCUACGGGAGGCAGCAGUGGGGAAUAUUGCACAAUGGGCGGAAGCCUGAUGCAGCAACGCCGCGUGCGGGAUGACGGCCUUCGGGUUGUAAACCGCUUUCGCCUGUGACGAAGCGUGAGUGACGGUAAUGGGUAAAGAAGCACCGGCUAACUACGUG
rnacentral:rRNA from 1 species